GCAGAAGGACGACCUUCCCCUCGUCGAGGGUAUCCGUUCCGGGACGGCCCGG
rnacentral:ncRNA from 1 species